UUCUCUCCACAAAGGGGGUCACACAGGCGGGAGCAUGCUAACCUUGUCUUGUGUUAGCGCUCGGGGAUAAAAGAACAGUGUUUCUGCCAUCAAAUGGUGCAGUUGCUCUCUCCAAACCGCCGGCACUUCAUCAGUUUCAGUCCCAGUGGAGAAAUCUUUAGCUGAUGUUACCAGGCUCCUGCUGCUUCUGACUGAAAAGCUUUGUGCACCAGCUGGAGCUUUUUUAGCUUUUUUGGCCAGGAACACAGAAAUCACCAGGCUGGAUCAGACCUGCGGCCCCUCUAUUCCAGUAUCCUGGCUCUAACACUGCCCAGCACCAGCUGCUUCAGAGGAAGGUGCAAGGACCCUGCAUUAGCAGGGAAGCCAGCAUGGAGAGUGGCGGACUGGUCGUACGUAGCCUGUGUGGCUGAGGGGAGGCGUUGCAGUGUGUGGUGCUCGUUGGAGUUCUCUGCAUGCAGAAGUCUCCGUGCCCAGGUAUAUGACAUUGUUGCUGUCCAGCCGAGAGGUGACGAAGACGUGAGUAACUGAGGCCAGGUCUUCAUCUGCCAGGGCGGGAUGGAGUCUCCCAGCCAGCCGGACUCGCAUUGUUCUUCAGGAGGCAAUGUGAAUUGAGGGCAAAACCAGCCAGUGAGCUUCCUUUUUCCCGAAGCAAUUCCCAGAGCCCAGCGCAAGACAUGUUAUCAGGAAUACAGAGUGUUGGGGGCAUCACAGCAGGGGGGUCUGCCCAGGUUUCCUAGUAUUUCCUCCGUGGGAAAAAAGGACUAGUUCAGAAGCUAUUUCCAGUCUUCCAUCCAUGAGUGUGAAAUUUCACUGAGUCUAAACAGAGGGCUAGUGAGGGAGGGAAGGUGGCUGGUCAAAGUAGCUGCUAGGCCCCAUUUCAGAGAGUGCGGGGAGGGGAAUCUACAUGUGCCUCUGCUAUUCAGGUGAAGCUGGGGGAGCAGCGGAGAGGUGGGGGGUGUUAGAAGGUCUGCAUGGCAGUCACCACCUCUUGCCACCCUUCUCUUGGUCUCUCCUGCAGGCCCCCUGCCCCUGUCUUCCCUGCUUCUGGCCAUUGAACUGGGGCCCUUCUCGUGGCACUCCCAUGCAAUGUCCUGAGCCCACCAGACAUUGCUGACAAAAGCACUGGGGGCCAUCUGGUUUGGUCUGCACCCCCACAUGUGAUCCAACUCUCCUUUGGGCUCAUCAUCCAGGGCAAGCAGCCCCCCAGGUGCUGGAUCCAGGGACGCAAGGUUUGACGUAGGCUCGUUAAUAAAAACACUGUUGGGAGGACGAGUAUGGCGUGUUCCUGGAAGCCACUCGGUGUUUGUAUCCUGUAGGCGCGACAACGUCAGAGAGUAAAUGUCAGGGCCCCAGGCAGGGAGAGUGCUGGAUCCUGCUGCUACCGCGUAUCUGGUAACUCCGGAGCCAGCAGCAUCUGGGGGUGUUUUUCUCCUGCCACUCCAGAGUAUGUUUGCAGAUGUCAGGCUGUGUCAGGUGCAUGUAGGACAGGAGGUGCCCUGCCCAGCCGUCAGGUGCUGGGUAAGACUCAGCUCUUGGGGAGAGGGAACCCGCUGGGAAGUCCAGCCAGCAUAACUGUGUGUGUAUGGCACUUCACGCAGUGGGGGUCACUCGGCGGCAGUGUACUGAAAACACACCACCAAGGCAGCGAUCUGCGUUACAAGGACAUUCUGUAGGUUGCUAAGUCAAGCACUUGGAAGUGCCAGAUUGACGCAACCUUCAUUCUUUCCCAUUGUGCGUGCGUCCUGGGUAUUGAAUGAGGCAGGGGUGCAAUGGGAAGCCCAUGUGGGAUCGUGUAAUCAUAGACUGUACCAGGUGUGUGCGCCCAAAGGGCAGAACAAGGGCUGUACAAGCAACCAGAAGCUGUACAGCUGGCAUUUCCAAACUUGUAAGCACCCGAAAUAACUGUCUUGUAAUGUUGAUUUACUGCAGGCAACAUCCUAGGGGGUUUUUUACAAAGAAAAACCAGAUUCUGUUAUGCACAGUGAUGAGCCCCUCACUGUGCAUCAUCAGCAGAGUUUUAACUCUGAGCCAUCAGCAUUUCCGCACAGAUUGCUCACACUGGGGCUACAGGAUUACAUUAUCUGGGGCCAGGCAAGGGGUUAUUCCAGCGGGAAUGGACUGCUGGGCCCAGGUGCUGGAUCUAAAGGUGGUUGAUUGGUUGGGGGUGGGGGGGAGCUGGCUCACUGUGCUCUCUGUCUCCCCCGACUUCCAGAACUGGGGGAACUCCAGACCCUUGUGUUAUCCCAAGAGGGUGGGAAUGGGCCACUGGGGCCAAGGGCUUGGUCCUGGGGGAGGUUUCCAGUCCUGCUCUCUCUCCAGCCUCGGCACUGCAGCUCGUCUGGCAGCUCCCAGCUGUGCCCAGCCCAGCGCAUGUUGCUGCUGCUGCUGCUUUGGGGGAGGCAGGAGCCCAGCCCUCUUGAAUGGAUGUGGAUUUAGUUCUUAUUUUCCAAAAUUUCCUGAGAAAUGGCUGUUUUCCAGUUUAUAUCUCAGCAAUAGGAGAACAGGAUUUUAUGAAACAAAGACGAGGCCCAAGGCUGUCCCCCGGCUGAGUAUCAAAGACUUGCUGCAAACAAGGAAGGCGGGAGAGCUUCUCAAAGGAGAGGCGACAAGAAUCCUUUCUAAUGGAAAGUAAUCGGCAACCCAAGUAUAGGGACUGCUGCCAGAUCCCCCUGGCAUUGCUGCGAGCUCUUGCAGUUUGCAUGAGUCUCAUGCUGUCUGGUGUUUUUCUUAAAGCCGCAGGUCCAGGAAUGAUGAAAGCACAUGAGAAUCUCAUUGAACCCCCCUUCCAGAUCCCGAGAAAAGGAUGAAAACAUGGCUCCUAAGGGCUCCACAAUCAAGGCGAAGACGGGGAACCCCACAUUUGUUGCUUGUUAAAAAUCUCAUGAUUUGUAAGCCAUCCUCGGGGUUUUUGAAUGCGUGGAGUUAGUGACCCUGAGGCAGGUUCUGUGCCACCCGCUCCCCAGGCUCCGGAUAGGGUGUGUCUGGGAUGGAGAUGGGAGAGAGGCCCUAGCGGCUCCUGGGCUGCUUUGGGCCCCUGCUGGCCCAGGUUGGGGGGGAAGCAGGCAGGUGGCUGCUCCUUGUCUCUUCCCCCAGCGAUGCCGCACUGCACACACAGGAUGUGCUGCACACACAGGGCGUGUUGCAGUUUCUCUCUGUUUCCUGCCUGCGGAAGGGACAGAGUUAGCCCUGCUCUGUGAAACAACAGGAAAGAAAUGGUUUGGGUUCAGUGAGUCGCAGGAAAUGAGCCCAGCCCGUGAAGCAACUGUCAGUGCAAAAUCUCUCUUGCAUCUUUCCGACCUGCCCCCAACACUCUAGCACGCUGGUGGGUGGGGGCGCAGUAUAUUUGUGUGACAGCAGCGACUACAGGCUCCUCCUGGGAACAGGGCCCGCUGGGCAGGGUGCUGUGCACACACAGGAAGAGUCAGCCUUGCCUCAGGUUGCUUCCAGUUAGCAGGUGGGGAGCGGGCAGCGAGAUCUUUGCAGUGAGGGUGAAUGGCAAAGGCCAUCCCGGGGCCAUGUAUGCUCACUGCAAGGGCAGGUCUGCGCUGCAAAGAGAGCUGCUGUGUAUUUAACUUGGGUUAGCGCCCAGGUUACAAUAGAAGUGAAGACCCGGCAACUUGGCUUUUAACACAGGUUAGCAGCUCGAGCCAAAGCCUGUGGGGCAGCCUGGUGCUGAAUUUGAGCCAGAAGUGAGUUGCCGAGCCUCACUGCUGUUCUACCCCAAAUUUGCUAAUCCCAGGUAACACAUCCUUUGAGGCUGCUGGAGAGUGUGAAGGGGCCUGCACGUUAAUGAGCGUCUGGCCCCACCAGUCUGAAGGAAAGACUGAAGGAAGCCCGUGGAGGUGAGAAAGAGUUGGGCUGGGUGAGUACUGUCAGAUCCGCGCCAGCUCCCAAUGGAUGCUCCUAUCUCAGGUGAAGAGCACCUCAGUUCAGCGUAGCUUUCCCAGUGAAACCAAUGGCUCCAGGAUGCCUGCAAUGUGAAGUGAGCAAAGUGUUCACACCAGCCUUGUUGAGUCCAGUUCUAAAAUGACUGAGUUGAACUGGUGUAACUUGGGUGCACAGACAAGGCCUAAGGGAUUCAGGUACCCAAUCCCAUUGCCCUGCACAGGCAGCUGUGUGCCUAACUCCUUUGGGGCCCUUGCAAAUCCCAGGCUGGACUCUGGGUGAAAGAAUUUGCCCAUCCGUAAGUGACUUGUAGUAUUUACAUACUACAUUACAGAAUCAGUCAGUGCUCAAUUACUGGGUGUGUGAACCAGUGACCUUUUAAUUACAACGAAUUACUGACUAAUUCAGCUAUAGAGUUAAAACAAUGUUGAGAAGUUCUGAUACUGGCCCUCCCCCACCCCUGUGCAUCUCACAGAGCAGGGACCCUCCUCUCCCCCUCCCUCCCGCAUUGCACAGAGCUGGAGUAUGCCCCUCCCCCAUCCUUGGGCAUCGCACAGAGCAGGGACCCACUGUGACACUCUGUACCCAAAUCAACACCCUGGCACCCCCAUAUUUAUCAUGGUGAUAUGAUUAUGAUAUACUUGGUACGAAGUAUGCCUUGUGACGUAUCAUUCUAAAAGUCUUGAUCUGUUGAACAUUAAUAUCCUGUUGGAUUAUAUGCGCUAUCAUUGUAUGUGAAGUUUUGCUAUGUGUGUGUUACUGAAGUAUGGUGUAAGGUUGGAAACACCAACAACCAACCUUUCAGGUACAAUAAUGUAAGAGCCAGAUGCUGCUGAUGGCCCAUUAAGGGGAAUCCACACUACCAAGGACUAUCACAGGAGCUGUGUACAAUGAAAACCUUUCAGCGAUAGCACAUAAACAAUGGACACAGCUUGACUCAAAUCCUAGCAAAAGAUCUACAGCUCCUCCUAUAAAGGAGGGAAAAUGACCUAAUCAUUUGGCCUCACUUCCCCCCACAACUCAACACCUGGAAACACCUCUGGAGGACAAAGGCUGAAUGGGGGAGGUGGUCCCAGGCUGGAAAGGAGAAUCCCAACCUCUAUAUGCAGGAACUAUACCAUCUACCAGGGUGAGACACUGCUUGAUUCAAAUCCUGUCUAGUUUAUAGAAUUCAGAUUGCGGUUUUACUUUCAUUUCUUAGGUAACUAACUUUGAUCUGUACAUUUAUUACUUAUAAUCACUAAAAAUCUCUUUCUGUAGUUAAUAAACCUGGUUUUAUAUCUUA